AUCAAAAACAUCGCCUCUUGCUCAAAUAUAACUGUAUAAGAGGUCCCGCCUGCCCUGUGAUUUUUUUAACGGCCGCGGUAUCUUGACCGUGCGAAGGUAGCGUAAUCAAUUGUCUUUUAAUUAAAGGCCCGUAUGAAAGGCACCACGAGAGUUUAACUGUCUUUAUUUCCUAAUCAAUGAAAUUGAUCAUCUCGUGCAGAACCGAGAAUAAAAACAUAAGACGAGAAGACCCUAUGGAGCUUCAAACACUUAAGUUACCUUAACACCAAAAAUUACACCCCAGGGUAUAAAAACUAGAAAUAACCUCUAACUUAACUUGUUUUCGGUUGGGGCGACCAAGGAGUAAAACAAAACCUCCUUAUCGAAUGUGUGAGAAAUCACUCAAAAUUAGAAUUACAAUUCUAAUUAAUAGAACAUCUAACGAACAAUGACCCAGGACCUCAUCCUGAUCAAUGAACCAAGUUACCCUAGGGAUAACAGCGCAAUCCUUUCCUAGAGCUCCCAUCGCCGAAAGGGUUUACGACCUCGAUGUUGGAUCAGGACAUCCUAAUGGUGUAGCCGCUAUUAAGGGUUCGUUUGUUCAACGAUUAACAGUCCUACAUGAUCUGAGUUC
rnacentral:rRNA from 1 species